rnacentral:lncRNA from 1 species
UACAUACUGAUGUUAGAUCCUCGCUGGAGCGAGUGAUGUCUGUAUUCUGGAGACUAUGUAUGUAUAGUGAACCUGAUAUUUAUUUAUAUAUGUUUACAGUUCUGUUAGCAGCUCUAUACUACUGGUUGUAGUUUUGUAUGAUUAUAGGUACAGGUACAACUAUCGCUUCGUAUACAGAAAAAAUUUCUUUGUAUACGGCGGAUUUGUCAGCGUGUCCGAGGAAACGAGAAAUCCGGGGUGUGGCAAAGUUACAUCAAAACAAACAGCAGAAGUAAUUGAAUUUAACUUUCAGAUUGUACGAGUUACGUCAAAACAAAUAAUAAAAAAAUAAUCACACUUCACGGAAACUCAAACACCAUUGUACUUGACUUACGUUGGAUCUACAGAUUCGUCAAUCCAAACGCCCUCUUAAUCCCCAAACACCCUUUUUCAAGGGGUGGGCCCAGAAGUAGGGUAAGAUUAACUAAUCCCACCCCAAUUUAAUUUUUAAAUUUAUAUUUUAAAUUUUUUAAAUUUAAGAAUUUGCAAUCUUAAUUAAUAUUUAUAAUUAUAAAUUAUGAAUUAUAAAUUAUUAUUUUUAAUUUUUUAAAUUUAAAAUUUAAUAUUUGAUAUUUUUAAAUUUAAAUUUAAUCUUGAGUUUAAAAUUUAGAACUUUAAAUUUUGAAUUUGAGAUUUAAAAAUUUAAAAUUUAUUUUAAUUUUUUUAUUUUUAAAGUUAUAUAUUUAAAUUUAAAAUUUUAAAUAUAAAUAUUUAAAAAAUUAAAUUUAAAUAUAAGGGGCAAUAUCAUUAUUUUCUAUUUAUAACUACCCACUAUUCUUUUUAUUCCAUCUUAUCUAUUCAAACGCUAUUUUUCUUAUUCCUGGGUGUCACGCCCCGGAUUACUCGUUUCCCGGGAUAUGCCAACAAACCCGUCGUAUAUAUAAAAAAUUUUUCUGUAUACAAAGCGAUAGCUGUACUAUCAUGAUCCAACACUAACUAUCCGUAGAAUAAUGUAAUCUCUGACCGAAUCGCACUAGGGACUAUGAAUACACCCACCCCAGGGACUAUGAAUAUACCCGUC